CGGACGAUUGGACGACGGGAGACUGGGAGAGGGAGCGACCGACGCCUCUUCUCUCUCCCUCCCGCAUCCUUCCUCGCCGGCCGGCGAGCGCGCACGGAGAGGGAAAAAGGCGCCGGCCGGCGAGUGGGGCGGAGACGGCAGCUGGCCCCCGCCUGCUGCGCGCCUCUUCGGCGGGCUGCGACCGCCCGUCGCCGUCGAGCCCCAGUGCCCCACCCACGGCGCCCCGCCAUUGCCGGCCACCCUGCGUGUCCCCCGUUCGACCCAUGCAGCGAGGCGCGCCGCAUAUGACCUUGAAGAUCUCUCUCUCAUGCACAGCACAGUGCACACACGAUCUCACCACACUAGUACUAGCUACUUUGAGAGUGUAGUAGGAUGAGCCAGCAAGGGAUCUGGUAUGGCGACGUGUUUCCGGUGACCAGAAGCCUCGCGGCCAAGCCCAUCGCGCCGCGGGACGCGGCGACUUGCAGUCGGCGCGCGGAGAACCUCGUGUUGGGGAAGACGGUCAAGGGCGGCCCGGCCGCCGCCAUGGAGUCCGCGGCGAGUCGUAACGAGGAGAUGGGCGUCAUCGGACAUGACCAGUCCACGGACGCCACCGCCGAGCAUGGCGUCAACGUCUCCAAUACCCUCGUCCUCGGCGGCAGCCGCAUCGUCACUGAGUUCGUCGCCGGCCAGGUAAUCACACUGUUGCAUGAACACUGUUCGUCGUUGCCGUCUCUCCGAUUGUUCGAGCAGGAUGAUGGCGCCGCCACCCUCCGACUCCCGCAACCCUAGCUCCGUGUCGCAGACCGCCGAAGAAGUGCGCAGUGGGCGGGGGCCAGCUGCCGUCUCCGCCCCACUCGCCGGCCGGCGCCUUUUUCCCUCUCCGUGCGCGCUCGCCGGCCGGCGAGGAUGGAUGCCGGGAGGGAGAGACAAGAGGCGUCGGUCGCUCCCUCUCCCAGUCUCCCGUCGUCCAAUCGUUUGUGGAUAGAGAGGAUGGUAGGACCCACUGACAGUUGUUGCUUGAGACCUCGGGAGAGUGUUACCGGUGAUAGAUCGGAGUCAAAUUGGGAGAAGUUGAUGUCCAGGGAUUAAGAGAUCAUGCGGGAUACUAAAGGCUAGAGGACAAUGCAUGUGGUGAUGAAGAAAUCCAUAUGGUAUACAAGAGGAUUUGUGUACAUAUGGAAAGAGGAGUCGAAUUUGGAAGGGAGUCCGAAUUCGGGAAGAUUGUUUGAGAUAAGGCAAGAGAUAAGUUGGAUACUUGCAAGAGAGGGUUUCCUACGUGAGUUAGGAGUCGUAAGUUGUGUUAGAUUCGUGGGCUUUGCACAGCCUACCUCAUGUAUAAAAAGAUAGGGAGGGUGAGGCCUCCCAGUAUCGGUUUUACAGAUAUUAGAGUUGCGAGAAAGUUAGGGUUUCGAGUUUAAUUCGAGAUUUUGGUAAGGAGUGCUGUUGGUGCACUUUGUAAACACUAGUUGAUGCAAUAAAGUCAAAAAGUUUCAAUCUA